AGGAUUUGAGCUUCAUUUUGAAGAACUGAGAGGCUCAACUCUUUGAAUUUUGAUUAAUUUCACUGUGAGUUUUACACUGCAAUACAAGUAUUAGUGGUGCAUGAGUAGUUGUGGGGCUUCAGCACAGUAUGGAUUCUUCCUGACAUCAGAUACUGUGAUAUCCAUAAAAGAGCUCCAACUGGUCCCACCACUGCUCCUGAGAAUGGCAAAACACCCACCCUUCCUCAAACAGCAAUGAAGAUCAGCGGGGAACCAGCACCAUCAAGCAGAGCACAUGCAGAACUCUGCUUCGCUCCUUUGCGGAAGAGAAAAAUGCACCUCCGUGUUUUCUGAAUGAGUCUGUCAGCUCAUUCCCACACAUGGCUCUAUUAUGAAAAAUUAAUGGACAAUCAAAGGAAACCAGAAGGCUUCCACUUUUUCUCCAAAUAGAUACAGAGCAAAGUAUUCACUCCCAUCUGUAGUUUUCUCUUAAUAUCCAGGUAACCACUGCCAUGCUGAAAUCCUUUACAGCUCUGGCUCUAUCAGCAAUAAAAAAAUCAGGCCUUGUGCAGGCUUUCCCACUGCUGGAAGAGUCAACUAUUGGCCAAGUGGCUUUCAGAAUUUUGCUUGCAUUCAUUACAUCACAAAUAAAAAUUAAUCUCCCAAAUUUCUGGAAUGCUAUGCUAUAAUGUAAGGGAGUCAGG